rnacentral:lncRNA from 10 species
UGGGAAUUUAACUGCUGGUUUAUGUUCUUCCAGAGCUCCCUCUUUGCCCACUAGCAGGGCAUUAGCUGGUGCUGAAGACAGUGGCUGCUUGGCGAGCCUGGAUCUCCAAGUGACCCCCUCAGCAACUCCUGAUGAACAGGACUGAAGCCAAUAUUAAAGCAAGUCAACCAAAGGUUCUCUGGUGUAGACAAGACAGCAAAAGGACAGACUACCUUGUGGAACCUAGCAUUGUUCUCCUUCUGCAGCACUAAGUAACAUUUGUUCUCCGUUAAGAUCUUUGCAAACCACACACAAGAAUUGCUGGUCAUCCUGCCAAUAGAUGCUGCUCACAGAACCAAAUUUCCUGUGCUGAAUUGUCACUCAUGGGCUUGAGAGUAGGAGACUGGAGACCAAGGUGGCUAGAAUCCAGUUGGGCCUGAUGUCUCCCUGUUGAAAGGGCUCCUUGUGGAAUGAAUAGCACAUGGCUCCUGUGGUGGAUCUGAUAGUGGCAUAGCACCAAGUGAUGCAGGCCUGCCAGGGGCCACAGACACAGAAGAUGCUCCCGGGGUCCCCCAUGUACUCCAGACACACUGCAGGCCACCUCUCCCAGCAGGUUGCCAGUCAUGGGCCCCAUCAUCAUGACUUCUGUCCAAGGUGUGCUCGGAAAUCUCUUCCUUAACUGUGACUUUCUGACAGGUGGAGGAUGUGGUCAGGAGUGGGAAAAGGAUUCGAGACGGGAAGAGGGAGGGGUUCAGGAUGAAGAGAGAUAAUCUGUGCCACAGAUGCUGGCCCUGCAGUUAGCUCCCACCUAGUCCGUGCACACACAUUCUAAUCCCCUCCCAUUCCUUUACAUGCUGCGGCCAGAGAGGCCUUUCUCAAAGUGGAAGUCUCAUCCUCACUUCUCUGGUUACAGUGCUGGGCCAUGGUAACUUACAAGGCUUAGCAGGAACUGUCUGCGCACUCCCCCUUCCUGCCCACUACCUUGUUUCCCUCCAGUUGCGAGAGAAAACAUUGAUUGAGCAUUAACUAUGUGCCAGGCUUGUCCUAAGUCCUUUGCAUGUAUUCACUCAAACAAUCCUCACAACAUUCCUAUCACAUCUCCCAUUUCACAGUGAGGGUUCUAAAGCACGUAGUGGGUGAGGAACUUGUCCAGGGUCACACAACUAAGUGGGGGUGGAGAAACAUCAAAUCUAGGUGGUCCAGGUGGUGGCCAGAACCCAUCAGCACCUCACUACAGCUGCCUCCAGUUUCUCGCUCUAGGAAAUACUCUUCCCUGUCAACUCCUGUUGUCCUCUGGGCUCAGUUGACAUGUCAUCUCCUUGAGGAGGACAUCCUGAGAUGCUCCCCGACUAGGGUGGGCACCCACUUCCACACUCCAAAUGCCUAUUUGACCUGUGUAUCGCUGCAUCCCCACUGCCUGGCAGAUAGCAGGCCCC